AUCGCGACUAUUUCCAACAUGGCUGCGCCCUAGCUAGCACCACGACGAGCCGCUAUCUGCUUUAGUAUAAGCAGAUACUUGUAUAUACAAGUCUCUGGUAUAAGCUACAGCUCUGUAUUCACUGUUGACAUUCAGUUUUUCAUUAUGAAUAUCAAAGAACAUUAAACACCUUCAGAUUUUAAAGAUUGACAGAAUGAAGUUCCACAGGUUACUGAAACAUCAAGGGAUGACCGUGCUUACAAAGGACAACUGUACCUGGAGUAAACUCUCAAUGCUGUUGAGAAAUACAUCUCGGGGAUCUUUUGGUGUCUGCUCCUCAUCCAAGAGAUCCUGUUUAUCCAAAACAUACCAAGCAAAUCAACUGACAAAAUACAAUCCAAUCAGUGAGUUGCAGCCUUUUGUGGCUGUGCCAAUCAUACCUGAUGGGACUGUUCCUUUCAAUCCUUCCGAGUCGGAAAUAAAGUCUGCUUCAACUUUCUUUGAACCUAAAACAAAGUUACAUGAGAUAAAACAUAUCAAAACAGCUGCAAAGAUCCCUGAUCUACCCACCUAUGAUAUUCCAGAGGUAGCAUUUAUUGGUCGAAGCAAUGUUGGCAAAUCUUCUUUGAUAAAAACCCUGUUUUCAAAAGCUCCAAAUGAAGUUCUUCGAAAAUUAUCAGUGUCGUCCAAACCUGGGCGUACCAAAGCAUUGCAGCUCUACCAGGCAGGAGAGGUGUUCACAUUGGUGGACAUGCCUGGCUAUGGACACCAUAUGCCUCACUACUUCACUGACUGUGUGGAAUCCUACUUCAAACAAAGAACCAAGCUAGUCAGGUCAUUUAUAUUAAUAGAUGCAGUAGUUGGAAUUACUGAGAAUGACAUGAUAGGCCUGCAAAUGAUGGAGGAAAUGGUUAUCCCUUAUGUACUUGGAGAUGGUGUUCAUUCUGAUUGACGGUGAGAUAGGAUUAACUUCACUGGAUAAGGAAAUGCUGGAGAAGUUACAGGUCUUCUCCGCAGUUCACUGUAUGGUAUUGACGAAGAUUGACAAGGCUAACAGACACAGGCUACUGGGGAACUUAAUGUCCGUGAUGCAGUACAGAGAUAAACACAACAAAUACUGUCUACCACAGCCUUUUCUUGUCAGUGCCCACACUGGUGAAGGAAUAGAACUUCUGAAGACAUUUAUUGCGUAUGUGACUGGCAACAUGCUAGUGAUUGGAUCUUGAUCAGAAAUACAGCAUCAACAAGCUACAUGCAUUGAGGACAAGACCUUGAAAAUUCAGGAACUCCGUCUAUUAGACGUCCUUUACCUAUGUUACUGGAAAAAUGCUAUUGAUUAACCGUUUCUUGAUAGUAUGAUGUAUGUUAAUGACUUUCAUAAGCUGAAUGAAUACAGCUUCCUUUACCAUAGGUAUAAUGUACAAGUGGUUGUACAUGUGUCACAAACUUUGUACGUGCCUGCACACACCUAUCACCUGUAUGUAUGCGACUUAACAAACUCUAAUUGCUGAUUAUAUGAGUAAAUGUGAAUUUACAUGUAUUACUGUAAACAUGGGAGCAGAAACAGUACCUGAUUGCUUUUUAUCAAAGUCUGAUACAGAAGACAGUUUGUGUAUAUUCAGAGUGGGAACAGCAACCGUUACAUGAGAAUCUCGACAUCAUAGCAGGAUUUUUUCUGAUUGCUCAUAGCUUGCUUCAUUUUGAACAUGUGAUGGACUGUCACAUGCAAGAGAAAUAAUAAAACAGCAAAUUCAUAUU